GACGACCGCUGGCGGCGUGCUUAACACAUGCAAGUCGAACGGUGAAAGCGGAGCUUGCUCCGCUGGAUCAGUGGCGAAGGGGUGAGUAACACGGGGGCAACCUGCCCCUGACCUCGGGAAAGCUGCGCGAAAGAGUAGCUAAUCCCGGAUACGAAUCCUGCAGGCAUCUGCGCGAUUGUAAAGUUUUGCGGUCAGGGACGGGCCCGAGGGAUAUCAGCUUGGGGGUGGGGUAGUGGCACACCAAGGCGACGACGGGUAGCCGGCCUGAGAGGGCGACCGGCCACACUGGGGCUGAUACACGGCCCAGACUUCUACGGGAGGCAGCAGUGGAGAAUAUUGCGCAAUGGGCGAAAGCCUGCCGCAGCAACGCCGCGUGAGGGAUGACGGCCUUCGGGUUGUAAAGCUCUUUUGUCAGGGAAGAAACACCGGCUCUAACACAGUCUGGGAAUGACGGUACCUGAAGAAUAAGCACCGGCUAAC
rnacentral:rRNA from 1 species